GCCGGGUGUGGUGGCUCACACCUGUAAUCCAAGUACUUUGGAGGCCAAGGUGGGUGGAUCACCUGAGGUCAGGAGUUCAAGACUACCCUGACCAACAUGGUGAAACCUCGUCUUUA
ensembl:misc_RNA Metazoa_SRP Metazoan signal recognition particle RNA